rnacentral:rRNA from 1 species
GACGAACGCUGGCGGCGUGCCUAAUACAUGCAAGUAGAACGCACAGUUUAUACCGUAGCUUGCUACACCAUAGACUGUGAGUUGCGAACGGGUGAGUAACGCGUAGGUAACCUGCCUGGUAGCGGGGGAUAACUAUUGGAAACGAUAGCUAAUACCGCAUAAUAUUGAUUAUUGCAUGAUAAUUAAUUGAAAGGUGCAAUUGCACCACUACCAGAUGGACCUGCGUUGUAUUAGCUAGUAGGUGAGGUAACGGCUCACCUAGGCGACGAUACAUAGCCGACCUGAGAGGGUGAUCAGCCACACUGGGACUGAGACACGGCCCAGACUCCUACGGGAGGCAGCAGUAGGGAAUCUUCGGCAAUGGACGAAAGUCUGACCGAGCAACGCCGCGUGAGUGAAGAAGGUUUUCGGAUCGUAAAGCUCUGUUGUAAGAGAAGAACGGGUGUGAGAGUGGAAAGUUCACACUGUGACGGUAUCUUACCAGAAAGGGACGGCUAACUACGUG